rnacentral:rRNA from 1 species
CCUACGGGAGGCAGCAGUGAGGAAUAUUGGUCAAUGGACGAGAGUCUGAACCAGCCAAGUAGCAUGAAGGAUGACUGCCCUAUGGGUUGUAAACUUCUUUUAUAAAGGAAUAAAACGAGGCACGUGUGCCUUUUUGCAUGUACUUUAUGAAUAAGGAUAGGCUAACUCCGUGCCAGCAGCCGCGGUAAUACGGAGGAUCCGAGCGUUAUCCGGAUUUAGUGGGUUUAAAGGGAGCGUAGAUGGGUUGUUAAGUCAGUUGUGAAAGUUUGCGGCUCAACCGUAAAAUUGCAAUUGAUACUGGCAGUCUUGAGUACAGUUGAGGUAGGCGGAAUUCGUGGUGUAGCGGUGAAAUGCUUAGAUAUCACGAAGAACCCCGAUUGCGAAGGCAGCUUACUAAACUGUGACUGACAUUGAUGCUCGAAAGUGUGGGUAUCAAACAGGAUUAGAUACCCUAGUAGUC